rnacentral:lncRNA from 1 species
UAGUUUUCAUUUUUAUGUUGUUUUUGAAAUUGGUUGUAUAUUUUAAACUUGCAGCAGAUGACAAUUUAAGUGCCCAACACCCACAUGUGAUUGGUGGCCACUAUAUUGCACAGUGGCCCUCCAGGGCUGGGACUUACAUGUAUUUGAAUGAAUUCUAUAUAUUUCCCCUCUUUUCCUGACUCUUCAGUGACAAUCCUAAGACCAUGCUAAUAACAGAAGACAGUAAUCCCUUUUCUUAGCCAAACAAUUUGGAAGCCAUGAUUUUCUUUGCAUAUCAUGAAAGUGACCAUGGUGUUGGAUAUUGUGGUAGAACUUUCAAGUAAAAAAGAACUGUCAUUCAACUGAAUUGGAAGCCUCCAAGACUGCUGAGCACCCCAUGUCUUCGAGUGCACCGAGGCUGGAGGAAUGCUACAGAGGGAAACUUGCUUUGGAAGAAGGUGGUCUUCAUAGCUUCCAAUGUCUCCUAUGCUCCCAUAAAUAAGAGCAGAAAACAGAGACUAUAAAACUUUUGGGUCUCUGAUUUUUCAGACUCUUUUCUUAUUAAUUCCAGCAUAUGCACCUACUGAUGAUGACUUCCUGAGUGACUGAUGUGUGCCAGGUCCUGUAGUUGUUAUAGUUAAAGAGAAUAAAAGAUCCUUCCAUUGC